CUGGGACCAGGUGGUGUGCCUUGCGAAGUGAGCUCAGACUUGAUUUGGCUUUAUCAAGAAUCUUCUAAGCAGGCUCGGAUUUAUAACCUUGUGUUACGCAGCAACUUCGAAGCUCAAAUUGCUUUGGCUUUCUAACGCUUCAAUGGCCGACCUCCAACUUCUUAAGAUUCCAAAUAAUUCUUUAAUCUUUCUGAGACCAUUACCUUUCCUCGUCUAUGUAAAAAUCCUUUCAAAUUAGAUGCAUGGCAAUCAUCUGUAACAACCUUAGAGGGAUUUUAGAGGAGAAUGAAAAUGGGUUUGACUAGAGCUCUCACUGAAUGGUUCUCCAUGAUGUUUCUAAAUCGGGCCAGAAGUUGGACCGUUCUGGAUCGAUGGUUUAUUGUUGUCUGGUUCAAUUGUCCGAUCCGGUGGUCCA